rnacentral:lncRNA from 1 species
AGCGUUGCUGUCCGGACAGAGCAAAAAAAACAAGGCAUCAGUAUUGUUGAGUAUUAGCUUGUACCUGGUUCGGAGGCUAAGUUUGCCGGAGAAGGCAGGGGUGAGCCACGGUGGCUGCCCGGCUGUGCACCGGCGCCGGAGUUUGGACCAAGACAAAGACAGGAGCUGUCCGCGGUGCUGAAUCGGCGGCGCCGUCGCCGGAGCAAGGGGGCUUCUGUAACCAGCCCUCUGCUCAUUUACUCCCCAUCCUUCUAGCUCCCCUUCGCUCUGUGACUCUUGCCUUCCCCUGAAUUUAUUUCCCUUUUGGGGGACUCACCUUAGAACCUGCGCCCUGUACACAGGUGUAUAUACAUAUAUCAAAGAACAAAACGAUUGAUUGAAAACGGUGUCUUCUCCUUUCUUCCCAAAUAAAUGAUGUUAGAAAGGUUUAUUUUAACUGUACCCUAAAACGGAGAGAAAUGGAUAUUUCUACUCCUAAAUAAAUGGAAAUUCAUGUUAAAAACAAUAGAGCUAACCUAUAAC